GACUAAUAGCUGUACUCCACGUCUAGGCCCAAGUGUUGUGUAAUAGCCCAUAAUUUAAUUUAUUCAGAGGACAUGCAAAAUGGAAACCAUGAGAAGGUAAUUUGUCAUGACAUUUGUAAAAGUUAUAGAAUGGGAACUUUAAAUUAUAAUAGCAGGGUGAUCUCAGCUGACAACUUUCAGUUAUCUAAAAUGUCAUUGACUAUAUCUAUGUGUUUAUUUGUAAAGGAACUGACAUUUUUCACAUCCUUGACAAAAUAAAUCUCCAUGUUGCCCAAUUCACCUCCCCAGAAACUAGGGGUAGCGGGGAGGAAUACCCAUAAUUUCAAAGUCUACCAGUUCUUUCAAUGGUCUUUUUUAAAGCAGAGCAAAUUAGAUAUGAUUAAGUUUUUAUCUCAGCAUUGUAGUGAAGAUGAAAUGAUCAGUAUGUCUAAAGUAGUUUCAAGAGCCCCACACACGGUAAAUUUCCUGUGUUUAUUAAUAUGAUACUAAUAGUCUUCCUUCAUUUUCCUGGUAGAAAAGGGGAAUUGAUCUGGGUGGGGAAUUCUAAGAGGAAAGGAAACUGGAAGCCGGGAGAGACGGAGGCCCAGAAAAUUGACUAUGUAACCCCCACUCCACCUGCAGCAUCUCAAACCCAGAGGAAAGCUGAUAAUUACCCAAAAAUGCCUGUGUGAAGUUUUUGAAGUUUUUGGAGACAGUUUCAGAAGUAAGAAUCACAAAACAGAAGCUGAGCCAUGGGAGAGAGAGAACAGCUUCAGGAAGUGAAAUGUAAGUGAAACCAAGAGGAUUUAGAGAAGUGAAACUUGAACUUGGGGCCAGAAGUGACCACCGAAGCUUGCAGAAACUUCCCAGGAAUCUACAUACACAAUGGAAAGGAAACUGUUCUUCCCACAGAAUAUGAGAUUAAAGAAAUCUUACCAGUGUUUUUUUAAAAAACCACUCAGUUGAUAAUUUUAACUGACCUAAGGUUACAUUGAAAAUAGAAUGUAUGAGAAAAUCAACAAAUAAUUGAAGUUAAAAAUAUAUUCGAUGAAAAUUUCUGGGUAGUUUAAAUGUCCAUUUCCAAGGUCCCUCCCUGUCCAUAUCCAUUAAAAUAAACAAAAAUAUCCAAAAUAGAGAAGGCCCAGUCUUCUACAUAUUGAGAAUACUGACCAGAUGCAAUUCAGUUUGUACCAAACUCUAAACUGGUGCUAAGAGUCAAAGUACAGCACUCAAGUUGGUAAGCAUUGUUGUUCUUGGUAAGGGGAAAAAAUUCUGAGGGUCCCAAUAGUACUAUCCAAUAUAGAGAUGGGGGAGUUGUGGGUUACCACAUUUGGGAUGAUUUCCCCCAUAAGACAUCACCAACAAGUAGCUUCCCUCGUUGAUUUGACACUGCUUUGACUCUAAAUAGGUCUUUAAGGCAGCUGCAGAGCAGAAGCAUUGUGUGGGACAGGUGGGGAGGAGGCAGGGGUGAAAUACAUGCCAAUCAACAAAACACAAUUACCAUGAGCAUCUCCCUAAACAGACUUCCACCAACAUGGCUGUUUUUUACCCAAACUGGAAUGUAACAGAAGUUGGAGACUCACC
rnacentral:lncRNA from 1 species